rnacentral:tRNA from 1 species
CGGGGUGUGGCUUGGUGGUAAAGUAUUUGCUGGCAUGCAGGAGGUCCUGGGUUCUAAACCUCAGCACUCAGA